GGUUAAGUUAGAGCGUAGUUGGUUCUCCCGUUUCCCUGUGGAUACGAUAAAACCUUUAACCGGGUAAAAGCUAUAAUGGUAUCCGUGUGCUUGCGGAUUUUCUGUGUGCGUAUGAAUACCAUAGUACACUCUAGUGCCAUGCUGGGGAUGACAACCUAGUAUUCAAGUGGUGUUAGCAAGUGUCAACAAGCAUUUUUAGCGCCGUUGCCGGGGAAACUGUUGUUGAGUUGACUACGAACUAGCUUAAUCAUUUUCUAAAAAAUAAAAAAAAUAUUUUCCUUUUAUCCUUUGCCUCAUCUCUGCUAAUCUUUCUUCUUAUCUAAUCCUUGAUCUCUGGUCUAUCAUGAAUUCAAACAUGUCUAUCUAUGAAUUUCAUAGACCUACGGGUAUACAUCCGAACCACCAAAAUCUUCAAAGCCUAUCAUAGCAUCUAGUUUUGAGAUAGACCCCGUGUCGGUGUUUUCCCCCUCGGGGGGUCACACCAACUAGUGAAUUUGUGUGCAUGCUCCCUUUUCCAGAUGGUGAUGCAAAAAGACACAAAGAUUUAUCCUGGUUCGGGCAAGAGAAGGCCCUACGUCCAGCGAGGGGGG
rnacentral:lncRNA from 1 species